GUCCAGGAGCGGGAAUCGAACCCACAACCUUAUGCUAACAGGGCAGGUGCCAUGUCCACUAGGCUAUCCUGGA
rnacentral:tRNA from 1 species